rnacentral:rRNA from 1 species
CCUACGGGUGGCUGCAGUGAGGAAUAUUGGUCAAUGGCCGGAAGGCUGAACCAGCCAAGCCGCGUGAAGGACGAAUGUGCCAAGCAUUGUAAACCUCUUUUGUCAGGGGAGAAAAUCAGGCUCGAGAGCCUGACCGAGGGUACCUGAAGAAUAAGCAUCGGCUAACUCCGUGCCAGCAGCCGCGGUAAUACGGAGGAUGCGAGCGUUAUCCGGAUUUAUUGGGUUUAAAGGGUGCGUAGGCGGACUUUUAAGUCAGCGGUAAAAGCCCGGGGCUCAACCCCGGCGAGCCGUUGAUACUGGCUGUCUUGAGAUGUCGAGAGGUAUGCGGAAGGAGCAGUGUAGCGGUGAAAUGCUUAGAUAUUGCGCAGAACUCCGAUUGCGAAGGCAGCAUACCGGCGGCGAUCUGACGCUGAGGCACGAGAGCGUGGGUAUCGAACAGGAUUAGAUACCCGGGUAGUC